GCCCCUGUGGGUUAGCCAGGAUAUGCUUACGAACUGCGGAUUCGUAGACUCGGGUUCAAAUCCCGACAGGGGCGCCA
rnacentral:tRNA from 1 species